CAUUUCACUACGUUUUGUGCUGUUUGCACAUUUCUUCAUUUCAUUCUUGAGUUUGACCAUUUUUACAUUUUAAAAUCUUAAACAGGCACGAUAAUAUUUACGACAAAGGCUAUAACGAGUGAUUAGGUUCGCUUUGAGGCAAGAAUUGGUUUUGCGUGCCUCAAUUUGGGCUGUGGCCGUAGACUUUAGGAGAGCAAAAAGAAUACAGUGAAAGCGGACGGUGACGAUAACUUUAAAGACUUUGGCGUUCUGGGUGUAAAAUACGGCUUAUUGAAAAGCUAACCGAUGGAAUUGGAUGCAAAAGAUAAGCUACGGCGCUUCUGCUAUCUUGGCAGGUUUGAACCCGUAUAUAUACAUCUGCGAGGCUCAAUCAAUGUUGGGCAAUACUGGCCGCAAUUAGAGGUUCUCUGCAAAUCACUGGAUGACGUAGCAAUGCUUCUAAUUUUGCGACAAGCACUGCAGGAAACUACACUCGUGCGACGAGAUGAGCCGCUUCUCGUAUAUGCCGCUUAUUUGGCUAGUGAUGUUGACAUGAAAUGGAAAACAUCAGUGCGUAAAGCCUUUCCGGCGUUAAUACUAAAUGAUGAAGAUCUUUUCAUGUUUUGCAAAUAUGCUAUGCUCAUCCAGCGUGAAUUGAAACAUAAAGGCUUCACAAAUACGACACGGAAAGCCAUCACAGCUUGGUAUGAAGAUCAAUCACCCGAAGAGUUACGUCAAAUGUGGCUAACGCAUCGCGGUGCACAUGGGUUUACGCACAAAGCGCUUAUUAAGUUAUGUCAUAUUAACGACGAAACCAUCGGUGCUGUGGGUACUGUUACACCAUUUUUCAAAACAUGUACUGAAUUACUUAAAUCAUCUGAAUCAAGUGAGGAAGCUACAACUAUUGAAAAUCAUGCAGACGCUAAGCCACAAGUGGAGGAAACACAGCAAAUUGCAAAGACAGCCACCACAGAUCUAGAAAAAACACAAAGUAACACGGAAUUGUCACCGUCCGUUAUCUUGUCCGUCAGCAAACUACGUACAACCAAGAAUAAGACAGAGGCAUUGAAAAUUAUACGCAAAUUCAAAUUACGUUACAGUCAAGUGCCCAAUCAUUUACUGCGUUUCGGCCCUAUUAUGGAGGCGUUAAUACCAACUAUGUCAUAUUUGCAACUGUUAAAGAGUUGGCGCAAUUUGGCACGUUAUCAUUUUGAUAACCCAAAAAUAAUGAAAUUGUGCCAGACACUGUUCGAAAAUAAGAAACUACUGCGCAAGGACAAUAUUCAUCCGAUUGUGUUCCUGAUGCAAAUGCGUGACUUGGGUAUGCGAGAUGACAUAGCAAAAUUGGCACCCAAACGAGUUGAAGCGCUGAAAAUGCCGUUAUUUAAGCAGCUUUACCAGCAGUCCUUUGGCAACAAUCAAAGCACAGGCUUGCGUAUGCACAUCACAAUAAAUAUACAAAAAAAUUACAGGAAAAAAACUCUAAAGAAUCACAAAAAAUUGGGAUUUCUCGAAGCUGCAAUAGCUUUGGCUUUCGGUUACUUUAAAAGAGAGAAGGAAGUCGAUGUAUUCUACUGGAUCGAUGACAAGCUUACUUUGGGUCAGAUGCCCUGGGAGGCUGGUAUAACUGUAGAAGAUGCGAUUGACUAUUGUGAUUUGUUGGAUAUUACAAAAACCAGCCAACGUCUCAUAACGCCCGUUUUGCGUGCUAUGGAACGUAAGCAGGUGUAUGAUGUAUUUCUCGUCAUUGUACCAACAGCUGGGCGCGGUAAUCCAAAAAAUAAUUCCGACUUUCUGUGCAAAUUUUUAGACAAAUAUCGCGAAAAGAAAAAUCCAAAAGCAAAGUUCGUUAUAUUGGACUUGUUGAAAUUUCGCAAGUCGAUGCGUUAUUCAGAAACGCGUAACGAAAACGUGCUUGAAAUUUGCGGUUUAGACGAGCACACUACAAAUUUGGUAAACAAUUUCGCUUUGAAUCGUUUUGGUUAAAGUCAAGCGCCGAACUUAUUUUCGACAGCAGAACGCAGCAAAUUGGAAAGGGUAUUCGCGUUAGGCAUAAUGAAAAAAAGUUAAUGUGCAACCGUUCAAAACGUGCUUUAAAGUAAUAAUGUUUAAAAUAAAACCAAACGAGCAAACAAAAGAAAAGAAACCAUGCAAUUGAAAAUUUUGAACACAAUACCAUUGAAUGGAUACAAUCAAUCAAAAUUGAACGAAAUCAUAGACGUAACGUACCAAUAUGGAUGCUAAACUGAAAUGCCUUAAACUGCAAAAUCGCAAACAAUUCGAAAUGCAAACUACCAAUUAAGUUAAACCUAAUUAAACUAAAUUAUUGUAAAUUUAAUUAUACUUUGUAUGAAAUGAGGAGCAUUAUACUAAUGGUAUUUUAAGACAAGCGUGUAUUAUUGGCACACAUGCAUGCAAGACACAUAAUCACACAUACAUAAAAUGUAUGUAUAUAUAUUUACAAAAAUA
rnacentral:misc_RNA from 1 species